rnacentral:rRNA from 1 species
AGCGCAGACGGUUAUUUAAGUCUGAAGUGAAAGCCCUCAGCUCAACUGAGGAAUUGCUUUGGAAACUGGAUGACUUGAGUGCAGUAGAGGAAAGUGGAACUCCAUGUGUAGCGGUGAAAUGCGUAGAUAUAUGGAAGAACACCAGUGGCGAAGGCGGCUUUCUGGACUGUAACUGACGUUGAGGCUCGAAAGUGUGGGUAGCAAACA